AGUCCUGUAGCUCAACGGUAGAGCAAUUGUCCUACAAGCAAUCAAUUGCAGGUUCAAAUCCUGCCAGGACUA
rnacentral:tRNA from 1 species